GGCAUGCAGCCUGCAGCCUGCAGCCCUGUGAUGACGACUCACCCAGACCAUUAAUGCGGUUUACAUUCCUGGCUACUCACGGUGGGCAGCUGGAUGGACUGGUCACUGUGAAUAGGUCUUUGUUGGUCCACAGGUUUACAGUAAAGCGAGGACAUCUGUGUUAAUAGGCUCUAAGUGUCCAAAGACGGCACACCAGGUAUCAAAGUCAGCCAGAAGAUCAGGGUCAGAAGCCACGUCCGACAGGUUCCUAGGGGUAGGCCUUGUCUUUGACUCACGUUUCUGCUGUCUGGUGGUACCCGUCACAAAAUGAUGUCUGGUGGUCAUCGUGCACAAAAGCAGGGACUCAGCAAGUGCUUGCUGAUAGAGGAUGACCAUGGGCGUGGCAGAGGGUGAAGACAGCAUACAGGAGCCCGUGUCUUCUCACACAGCUUCUCUAGCCCGGCAAACAGACACGUGUUUUAUAUACAAACACCGGGACACAUCUCUGCACCCACAGAGGAAGAUAUCAAACCUUGGGCAGUAGGCUGUGGGAGAGCCUCCAUGUAUGCAUAUGCCUGUGUCUCAAUGAAGAUGACUGACCAGGUCCUCCAGGAACUGUCUGGACAGAGAGGGAAUGCCUCACUUGCUGAACAGGGUGGAGUCGCGUUGGGGAGCAACCCAGCAGGCUAUUCCUGUUUGAAUGAAUCCAGUUAUAGGUUCCAGAUAGCGAAGACAGUAGAAGAAUCCAUGGGCAGUGGUCACACCCCGGUCUCCCAAGUGUCCCUCAAGCUACUCCUCAGCCACAUUUUUAUUCCAACACUUAGCCCUACUUGACUCAAGACGCCAAUAAAAUCUUUUUAUU